rnacentral:rRNA from 1 species
GUGAGGAAUAUUGCGCAAUGGAGGCAACUCUGACGCAGCCAUGCCGCGUGCAGGAAGAAGGCGCUACGCGUUGUAAACUGCUUUUAACCGGGAAGAAACCCCAGGACGUGUCCUGGGUUGACGGUACCGGAGGAAUAAGCACCGGCUAACUUCGUGCCAGCAGCCGCGGUAAUACGAAGGGUGCAAGCGUUAUCCGGAUUCAUUGGGUUUAAAGGGUGCGUAGGCGGAGCGUUAAGUCAGUGGUGAAAUCCUGCAGCUUAACUGUAGACUUGCCAUUGAUACUGGCGCUCUUGAGUGCGGUUGAAGUGGGCGGAAUGUGCCGUGUAGCGGUGAAAUGCUUAGAUAUGGCACAGAACACCAAUUGCGAAGGCAGCUCACUAAGGCGAUACUGACGCUGAGGCACGAAAGCGUGGGGAUCGAACAGGAUUAGAAACCCCGGUAGUCC